GAGUUCUACCGUUGGUCGGGCAAUAGUCUGUACUGGCGUGUAGAAUUUCUACCUUCUGGGGAACCAUCAUGUUAUUUAUUUAGCGUGGUGGGAAACCAGGACCUUUACCUUGAAAAAAUUAGAGUGUUCAAAGCAGGCUUACGUCUGAAUACAUUAGCAUGGAAUAAUAAAAUAGGACGGUGGUCCUGUUUUGUUGGUUUCUGAAUCACCGUA
rnacentral:rRNA from 1 species